AUUGAACGCUGGCGGCAUGCCUUACACAUGCAAGUCGAACGGCAGCGCGGACUUCGGUCUGGCGGCGAGUGGCGAACGGGUGAGUAAUACAUCGGAACGUACCCUGUUGUGGGGGAUAACUAGUCGAAAGAUUAGCUAAUACCGCAUACGACCUGAGGGUGAAAGUGGGGGACCGGAGACGGCUUCAUGCAGCAGGAGCGGCCGAUGUCUGAUUAGCUAGUUGGUGGGGUAAAGGCCCACCAAGGCGACGAUCAGUAGCUGGUCUGAGAGGACGAUCAGCCACACUGGGACUGAGACACGGCCCAGACUCCUACGGGAGGCAGCAGUGGGGAAUGUUGGACAAUGGGGGCAACCCUGAUCCAGCAAUGCCGCGUGUGUGAAGAAGGCCUUCGGGUUGUAAAGCACUUUUGUCCGGAAAGAAAUCGCGCUGGUUAAUACCUGGCGUGGAUGACGGUACCGGAAGAAUAAGCACCGGCUAACUACGUG
rnacentral:rRNA from 1 species